rnacentral:lncRNA from 1 species
UGUAACAUACGGUUGAACCUCAUCAUCAUUGUGCAGAACAUACAAUUGUGCCUGCUCCCAUUCUGUCCUUGAUAUAGUCAGUAGUCUCCUUCCAAUUAUCCCUUCUCCUGAUAUUCUUCCCGAAUGACGAGACAUGGGAAGCCCUAUGGAUUCAACAUUGGACAGAUAUUCAGUACAAAAUUCAGCAGCCUCUUCAACAAUGUAUCGUUCAGCAAUACAACCUUCUGGUCGACUUCUACUUUUU